rnacentral:lncRNA from 1 species
GGCUCAAAGGAAAGUGCAGAGAAGGAGCUUAGAAAUGGCUUCCACAUGCAAUAUUACAAGUCAGGUAGGCCAUCAACAUAACUGAGAUGUGACACUGUUAAGCAAGUUGUGUGUGUUGCAUCAAUUAACGCCGUCCAACAAAGUCUUUCCAUCUGCUAAAGGAAAACUAUUGACAACUGAACCAUGCUGUCUUGUCUGCCAAUAUCGCUUUUCAUAAUAGCUAAGGAACUAUUCAUCGGUUUCUAAUUAUGCCAAGCAGAUUUGUAUGUUUCCAAAGAGCUCAAUGCAAGAACUAAAGCCCAUGUACCAAAACAUGAUCUCUAAAUAUAUGCAGGUUCAAAACCAAGUGUUACGGAAAACUGACAACUCAAUGCUGAACAUGUAUUUCCAUAAUUAAAGCAUGUGGCCGAGCAUUCUUAGAGAGAGUUUUCAAUUCUUGAAUUAUUAUUAUGUUUGGAAAAACAUAUAUGUCUAAGAAACCCUAGUAUAACUGCAAACAUCACGUUGCAAAUAUAAUACAUGCAUUGAAACCGAACAGUCAACAGAAAACACAUCAGAUACAUGUGAUAAAACCACUUUCAGAUGAAACAAAGGCUGCUUUACAAUCACUUUGGUGUAAUCCUAUACCCAAAAGAAAUAAAAUGUAAGGAGCAGUGCCAUGUGAGAUGCCGGAAAUCAAGCAGGUCUCGUUUCAUCUGAAUGUGCACAAAGAACAGAUUUAUUAGGAGCAUGAACAAUGCAUAUCACCAUGUGAGGGAUCCAUCAGGAGAAGCAAAUAGGUAGCCUAAUGGAUCAGUGCUCACCGAGAUUGUUCGAUCACUGAAUCUGGAAGCCAUCACUGUCUCCUUGCGCACUGCCAAUAACCAUGUUCUCGACACACCUCUUGUUCGCAGCGCGUUCAGUAUGGCAGCCACUGAUGAAAAGAAAGGGAACCAAUGCCUACUAGUUGCAACUAUAGGCUCCAGCACACACCAAACAUUUGGCCCCAUCACAAUCUAAUCCAAAUUAAUCAUACUGCAACACUGCAUGUGCCAAUCCCAUGGCCUUGUUGAUUGCUAACUCUUCUCAAUAACAGCUACACUUCACCGUCUCGAUGUUUCCCCUCUCCUAUAUAUUCAGCAAGCGACCGGCUCAACACCAUCACCUCAUCAGCUCAUCAACCAAGGGAGCAUUUGAGCAUCCAUAGCACACUUCUUCAGAUUUCCAG